rnacentral:tRNA from 1 species
CGAAGAGUAAGCCUAAUGGUAAGGCAGCGGUUUGCUAAACCGUCAGUAGUCGGCAACGGCGUGGAGGUUCAAGUCCUCUCUCUUCGGCCA